GCCUGGGUGGCUCAGUGGGUUAAGCGCCUGACUUUGGCUCAGGUCGUGAUCUCACAGCUUGUGGGUUCAAGCCCCGCGUCGGGCU
rnacentral:tRNA from 1 species